ensembl:snRNA U7 U7 small nuclear RNA
UAGUGUUACAGCUUUUUUAGAGUUUGUCUGGUAGGUUUUCUAGCAUCUGCUGGAAAACCCCC